rnacentral:rRNA from 1 species
AACAUCACGUCUAGCAUCACCAGUACGCCUGUUUAUCAAAAACCUGUUUUUUUGAGAAUAAUUUAAAGUGUACUCUGCCCGCUGAUGAUUAGUAAAGGGCUGCUGUAAUUUGUAUGGCAAAGGUAGCCGAAUCCAUAGUCUUUUAAAUGAAGACAAGUUUGAAAGAUUGGAUGAAAUAUAUUCGUCUUUUUUUUAUUUAUAAAAUUUAGUUUUUAGUUAAAAAGCUAAAAUAAAAUUAAAAGACGAGAAGACCCUAUAGAGUUUUAUUUAAAUAACUUUUUAUAUUUUAUUUAUAAAUAAUUAAGAAAAUUAUUUAUUUAUAUUUUGUUGGGGUGAUAAAAAAACAAAUAAAACUUUUUUCAUAUGAAAAACAUAAAUAAGUGAUUAAUUGAUCCAAUUAUAUCGAAAAAAAGAUUAAACCCCUUAGGGAAACAUCGUACAAUUCUUUUUAGUUCUUAUAAGAAAAAGAGUUUGCGACCUCGAUGUUGGAUUAAGAUAAAAAUAAACCAAAAGUUCUUUGUUUUUUGAUCUGUU